GGGGAAUAUUGGGCAAUGGGGGAAACCCUGACCCAGCAACGCCGCGUGAAGGACGAAGGCCUUCGGGUUGUAAACUUCUUUGAUCAGGGACGAAAGCGAUGACGGUACCUGAAGAACAAGCCACGGCUAACUACGUGCCAGCAGCCGCGGUAAUACGUAGGUGGCGAGCGUUAUCCGGAUUUACUGGGUGUAAAGGGCGUGUAGGCGGGUCUGCAAGUCGGGUGUGAAAUAUUCGGGCUUAACCCGGAGAGGUCAUCCGAAACUGCGGAUCUUGAGUACUGGAGAGGAUAGUGGAAUUCCUAGUGUAGCGGUAAAAUGCGUAGAUAUUAGGAGGAACACCAGUGGCGAAGGCGGCUAUCUGGACAGUAACUGACGCUGAGGCGCGAAAGCGUGGGGAGCAAAC
rnacentral:rRNA from 1 species